AAAAUAGUAUCAGAAUUGUCAGGGAAAAGUGAGAUGAGCGUAUUAAAUUUAAAAAAAAAUAGGAAAGUUGGAAAACACUGGCUUAGUCCUUGAAAAUUUAGUCUUUAUUAUUCAAUUUAUGCUAAAGCCUUUGCUUUUAUCCAGUGUAGUCGUCAGAUGCUGGCCAUGGCCACAGAUCAUACUUAACUCUCACCUUUCUAAUCUAAAUUCCCUAAUUGAAUUCUUUCUGGCUGCUGGUUCUCUCCAUGGGAUCAACUUCUCUCUAAUCAUUAUGAAGAAAAAUUGAGUUGGUCAAGAAGAUCUGUGCCCUGUUAGAAUAAGAACCAUAAAAGCUUUCCUCAUUUGCACAUACCAUGGCACCUCCUGGUAGCAUAAAGAAACAAAAGUAGAACAAAACAAACAGUCCCAGCAGUCAGGAGUAGUUCAGAAGUAUAAUUGUAGAAUCACUCAAUUCACCAAAAAAGGCUAACAAGAAAAAAAAAUAUUUUUCCUUAGUAGACUCCUUUGAGAAAAAUAUCCUUUUUCCCAGGGCUUUCUGGGAACUUUUUUGGUUUCAUGCCUAUACAUACCUUCUAUGUGGUUAUCUUGGGUGAUGGGUGAUGGUAGGGAGGGUUUAAGACUUUUGUUGAGUGCUUCCUUCUACUAAAAUAUUUUUUGUCAAGAAUACUUCUCUGCUCAUUCCCUAAUGCCAUUUUUCUUUUUUUCAAGACAGUCAUUUUUUUCCUUUCCCUCCACUGAGAAAGAAUCGAUAACAUCCUAAGGAGCUCAUCUCAGGCAUAUUGGGAUCAGGAACUGCUUUCCUCAUUAUGAUACCCCUGCAUGGAACAGCACCUGGAGAGUAGGUGUUCAAUAAAUCCUCACUUAGAGGUUGAGUACCUACUAUGUACAAGCACCAUGCUUGGACUUCUCAGCGUGUCUUGCUGAACUAGACACAUCUGCUGUCUUUGUUUGUUCAAGCUGCUUUAACAAAAGACCAAAGAGUGGGUAAUUUAUAAAGAACAGAAAUUUCGAGCUUACAGUCCUGGGGUCUGGGAGGUUAAUGACCAAGGCACUAACAGGUUCAGUGUUUGGUGAGGGCAUAGUCUCUACUUCCAAGAUGGCACCUUGUUGCUGCAUUCUCCAGAGGGGAUGAACACUGCUUCUCAUAUGGGAAGAGAUGGAAGGGCAAAAAUGGACCUAUCUAGUUACUCCCAUCCCUUUUAUAAGGUCACUAACCCAUUUAUAAAGUUAUAUGGUUUGGAAGUCCCACCCAAAUCUCAUAUUGAAAUGUAAUCCCCAGUGUUGGAGGUGGGGCCUGGUGGGUGGUGACUGGAUUAUGGGGAUGGUUUUCUCAUGAAUGGUUUAGUACCAUCCUCUUGGUACUGUCCUUGAGAUAGUGAGUUCUCACGAGAUCUGGUCCUUUAAAAGCGUAUGGCACCUCCCGCCUCACUGUCUUGCUCCUGCUCCCACCAUGUGAGACGCCUGCUCCCCCGUGAACUCCCACCAUGACUGUAAGCUUCCUGAGGCCUACCCAGAAAUAGAUGCCCGUGUUAUGCUUCCUGUACAGUGUGCAGAACCA
rnacentral:lncRNA from 1 species